rnacentral:snRNA from 1 species
GGGUGUGAGGGCGAUCUGGCUGCGACAUCUGUCACCCCAUUGAUCGCCAGGGUUGAUUCAGCUGAUCUGGCUGGCUAGGCGGGUGUCCCCUUCCUCCCUCACCGCUCCAUGUGCGUCCCUCCCGAAGCUGCGCGCUCGGUCGAAGAGGACGACCAUCCCCGAUAGAGGAGGACAGUUCUUCCGUCAAGGGUAUACGAGUAGCUGCGCUCCCCUGCUAGAACCUCCAAACAAGCCAUCAAGAAUGAGUGAGGAGUCCUGCUUCUGCCUUAUUAAAGCAGGAAUUUAAACUUCUAUUACUGUUUCAGUCAGUAAUCCUGUCCUG